rnacentral:RNase_P_RNA from 1 species
CAAGUAAAUCGCCUUAUCGAUUCUAAAUGUAUUUAGGGUAGGAAAGUCCGAACACCAUAGUGCAAACAUAGUGGCUAACAGCCAUCAGCCGUAAGGCUAGGAAAAGUGCAACAGAAAGAAUGUACAGGUCAUGCUGUAGUGAAACCAGGUAAACUCUAUGUGGUGCAAUGUCAUGUAAACUAACAUUUGAGAGCUGCACGCUCGAUGUUAGAGGGUAGACAGCUAAAGUUUGCUAGUAAUAGUAAACGUAGAUAAAUGAUAAGGGCUUUUAUUGUUGAAAUAAAAGUACAGAAUUCGGCUUAUAGAUUUGCUUACUUA